rnacentral:rRNA from 1 species
AACGAACGCUGGCGGCAGGCUUAACACAUGCAAGUCGAGCGCCCCGCAAGGGGAGCGGCAGACAGGUGAGUAACGCGUGGGAAUCUACCCAUCCCUACGGAACAACUCCGGGAAACUGGAGCUAAUACCGUAUACGCCCUUUGGGGGAAAGAUUUAUCGGGGAUGGAUGAGCCCGCGUUGGAUUAGCUAGUUGGUGGGGUAAAGGCCUACCAAGGCGACGAUCCAUAGCUGGUCUGAGAGGAUGAUCAGCCACAUUGGGACUGAGACACGGCCCAAACUCCUACGGGAGGCAGCAGUGGGGAAUAUUGGACAAUGGGCGCAAGCCUGAUCCAGCCAUGCCGCGUGAGGGAUGAAGGCCUUAGGGUUGUAAAGCUCUUUCACCGGAGAAGAUAAUGACGGUAUCCGGAGAAGAAGCCCCGGCUAACUUCGUGCCAGCCGCCGCAGUAA